UACAGAGGGGGCAAGCGUUGUUCGGAAUUACUGGGCGUAAAGGGCUCGUAGGCGGCCAACUAAGUCAGACGUGAAAUCCCCCGGCUUAACCAGGGAACUGCGUCUGAUACUGGAUGGCUUGAGUUUGGGAGAGGGAUGCGGAAUUCCAGGUGUAGCGGUGAAAUGCGUAGAUAUCUGGAGGAACACCGGUGGCGAAGGCGACAUCCUGGACCAACACUGACGCUGAGUGAGCGAAAGCCAGGGGAGCAAACGGG
rnacentral:rRNA from 1 species